GAGGAAGCUUGCUUUUCUUGUUGACGACCGGCGCACGGGUGAGUAACGCGUAUCCACCCUUCCUAUAACUAGGGAAUAACCUUGCGAAAGUAAGACUAACUUCCUAUGAUUUCCUUUGAUGACAUCAGAUUAGGAAUAAAGAUUUAUCGGUUAUAGAUGGGGAUGCGUCUGAUUAGCUUGUUGGCGGGGUAACGGCCCACCAAGGCAACGAUCAGUAGGGGUUCUGAGAGGAAGGUCCCCCACAUUGGAACUGAGACACGGUCCAAACUCCUACGGGAGGCAGCAGUGAGGAAUAUUGGUCAAUGGGCGGAAGCCUGAACCAGCCAAGUAGCGUGCAGGAUGACGGCCCUAUGGGUUGUAAACUGCUUUUAUACAGGAAUAAAGUUAGCCACGUGUGGUUAUUUGUAGGUACUGUAUGAAUAAGGACCGGCUAAUUCCGUGCCAGCAGCCGCGGUAAUACGGAAGGUCCAGGCGUUAUCCGGAUUUAUUGGGUUUAAAGGGAGCGUAGGCCGUCUGUUAAGCGUGUUGUGAAAUGUAGAUGCUCAACAUCUGAAUUGCAGCGCGAACUGGCAGACUUGAGUGUGCGCAACGUAGGCGGAAUUCGUGGUGUAGCGGUGAAAUGCUUAGAUAUCACGAAGAACUCCGAUUG
rnacentral:rRNA from 1 species